CACACAACGAAUAGAAAAAGAAGAAAACAUAGUCAGCGAAAGAGGAGGAAUUGCGAGAGCUGGAAUCACAUGGGAUGCUGUUUGGUUUGUGGGACCCGGCAUCCCUACCUCACCCCCACCCCCACCACCACCCUCUCCUCUCUCUCUCUCUAAUUGUGUUCUUCUUUUUCUUUUCUCUACCGACAAUCAUAACCUCUCAAUCAUCAACGCAAAAAUGCUGCGCAGAUCGCAGAGUUGAAAUCUCGUUUUACGUUCUAAUUUUUUUUAGGUUUUCGCCUUUCGAUUUGUUUGCGGGAAUUCUGCUGUUAUGUUAUGGCCGACGAUAAGGAGAUGUCUGCUCCAGUGAUGGAUGGGAAUGGCACAGUUACUGGUCACAUAAUUUCGACCACCAUAGGGGGAAAGAAUGGGGAACCUAAGCAGACAGUUAGUUACAUGGCAGAGCGAGUUGUAGGGACCGGUUCAUUUGGAAUUGUUUUUCAGGCAAAAUGCAUUGAAACUGGAGAGACGGUGGCUAUAAAAAAGGUCUUGCAAGACAGAAGAUAUAAAAAUCGUGAGCUGCAGCUCAUGCGGACUAUGGAUCACCCGAACAUUGUUUCCUUGAAGCAUUGUUUCUUCUCAACUACAAGUCAAAAUGAGCUUUUUCUCAAUUUAGUUAUGGAGUAUGUUCCAGAAAGUAUGUUUCGUGUUCUGAAGCAUUAUAGUGAUGCAAACCAGAAAAUGCCACUCAUCUACGUGAAACUUUACACAUACCAAAUUUUCAGAGGGUUGGCUUACAUGCAUUCUGUUGCUGGUGUCUGCCACAGAGACUUGAAGCCCCAAAAUGUCUUGGUUGAUCCAGCCACCCAUAUUGUCAAGAUUUGUGAUUUUGGAAGUGCAAAAGUAUUAGUAAGAGGUGAAGCAAACAUAUCGUACAUCUGUUCUCGAUUUUAUCGGGCUCCUGAACUCAUUUUUGGUGCAACUGAAUACACUACUUCCAUUGAUAUCUGGUCAGCUGGUUGUGUCCUUGCUGAGCUUCUUCUAGGUCAACCUUUGUUUCCUGGGGAAAAUGCCGUGGGCCAGCUUGUAGAAGUCAUUAAGGUACUUGGAACUCCAACACGUGAGGAAAUCCGUUGUAUGAAUCCAAACUACAAUGAUUUCAGAUUUCCCCAAAUUAAAGCACACCCUUGGCACAAGGUAUUUCACAAAAGGAUGCCUCCAGAAGCAAUAGAUCUUACUUCCAGGUUGCUGCAAUACUCUCCAAAUCUUCGUUGCACUGCGCUUGAAGCAUGUGCCCAUCCUUUCUUUGAUGAGCUACGGGAACCUAGUGCACAGUUACCAAAUGGUCGCCCAUUGCCGCCUCUGUUCAACUUCAAACAGGAGUUGUCUGGUGCAUCUCCAGAUCUUAUCAACAAGCUGAUACCCGACCACGUGAAAAGACAGAUGGGCCUCCAGUUCUUUGCAUCCUAUGAUGGAAUGACGUAAAAUAGAUUAUACCUGCAAGUAAUAGUAGUUAAUGGGUUGAAGAACUCUUAAAACGGUUUGUAACACCUCUAACUGAGAGGGGUUAGCUGAACCAACGGCAUCUGUGGAUCUAUGAGGACCAGAACAGAAGGGGGUGGGCAAUAAUCCCACUGCAGGCUCAUCUGGAUUGUGUCUUCCAUGCAAUGCUGUUUUUUCCCCUUUUCGUACAUAGUUGCCUGUUCGGCUGUGUGUUCUAGCAGCAGAUUUUCUGGAAGAGGAGAGAUCCUUUUUGUGUAUAUGUUUGGUUACCCACAAGGAAGAAUGCAUAACAGGCAACGAUAUCAUCAGAGUGUAUGAAUAGAUGAUGUCCUAUAGGAGGCUGCCUGAAACCAAAAAUGAGAGCCGACGAUGAUAUAUCAAAUUCAAGCAAUAAGGAGACUAGGAAAAUGGACGGGGAAAGGAAAUGUCCGUCGCAUGUAAUCGACGUGACAUGCGAUGAAUUUUUGGUGGAAAAUCAGAGAGAGUGUAGAAUAUGCCAUUUGAAUGCCAAGGAGAGUGGGGGGAAUUCGGUGGAGUUGAUCGAGCUUGGCUGUGGAUGCAAAGGGGAGCUCGGAGUUGCUCAUUUGCGUUGCGCUGAGGCGUGGUUUAGAGUGAGAGGAUAUAGAAUGUGUGAGAUAUGCAGUGAGACUGCAAAGAACAUCACCGGGGUGGGAGACAUCCAGUUCAUGGAGGAAUGGAGGGAGUCUCAAAGCCCAACAGGAGGGAGCAGAAGGUGGUUGAGCGGGCAGCUCUUGUGUAGCUUCUUGAUGGCGUUUCUGGUAAUAGCGGUCGCCCUCCCAUGGUUUUUUCGCGUAAAUAUCUUGUGACGACACGAAACUGAAUCCUCAAUUUUGACAAAUUUUUGAGUUAUAGCCAUGAUCUCACACUCUGCUAUGCAAGUUUAAGUUCUUUGGCAUAUGGUUCUUGUCGUAGAUGAAGUAGAUUUUGUUACUUAGUAUUUUCAAGAAACGAGUUUUCAUCGUGUAAUACAUAUAUCGAUUGUUCA